UGCAACUUUUGGCCCAAAGGUUUGAAUAAUUAAAUUCAAACCUAUAGUUUUUUUUUAAUAUAAUUUGGGACUCACAAUCCCAUUUUUAUAUUAUUUUUCUCUCUUCCUCUCACGUUGCUCGACGUUUUCUCACAAGGGGUGAUUAUUUUCUUUUUCUUCAGAUUAUAUUGACAAAGAUAGUGGUGAAAAAGGAGUUGUGAAGGGGAACUUGUUAUUCAAGACACAAGGAGCGAGUCCGGCCGAGAAAGCACCAGAGGUGUAACUGUGGUGUAUGAGACACCAUCUUUUACGUUGCCUCUUAUUUUAGAUUAUACAAUGUAUCUUGUGCCAACUUAGGACAUAUCUUCUUUGUGAAGCAUGUAAACUCUAAUCCUUUUUAUUAAAAGUAUUUAUAUGACCAAGAGGAUUAUGUCUGUCCCUCUUGAUUUAUGAUCUGAUUUGAAUAACAUGCUAUGAGGAUCAUGUCUGUCCCUCAUGGUUCUAAUUGUUUUUUUUAGAUA